AAACCGGUUGAUUCAUAACCCUAGAGGAUAUAAAAACGGGUGGGGUGGAGCCAUCGGACCUUCCAACCUCUCUUCUCUCCAUUCCCCUUCCAAGUCAAAAGAGAAAAAAGGGAAAAAGAAGGCGAGACAGCGGCAUCCGCUAAACCCCAAAUCUGUGCGUCGGCCGCUGCCCGCCGCCGGACGGAUCCGGCCAUCUCUCGAGAAAAGAAAACAAGAAGGCAAGAAGACGAAAAAUAGGGAAAAAAGAAGAAGAAAGAUAGAGACGAGAGAGAGAGAGAGAG
rnacentral:lncRNA from 1 species